GAUGAAGAACGUAGCGAAAUGCGAUAAGUAGUGUGAAUUGCAGAAGUACCGUGAAUCAUCGAAUCUUUGAACGCAAAUUGCACUCUCUGGUAUUCCGGGGAGUAUGCCUGUUUGAGGGUCGCUUAACAAACCAUCGAUUUCGUUGCUUUUUUUUAAAGUGAUGUUUAUCGGAUUUGAGCCGUCUUUUUUUUUAUAUUUAAGUGGCUUAAAAUUGAUUUUUUUGGUACGAUCGAAGCGUAUUUUUAUGAUCAAUUUUUGGUUAAAGAAACGCACACGUACCGUUAUUUAUAUGAUGUAAUACGUUUGACUAUUGGAUUUAGUUCAUUCGUAUACGAUAUCUUUCAAUAUUUGACCUCAAAUCAGGUAAGAACACCCGCUGAACUUAAGCAUAUCAAUAAGCGGAGGA
rnacentral:misc_RNA from 1 species